GAUGAACGCUGGCGGCGUGCCUAAUACAUGCAAGUCGUACGGAAAGGCCCUUCGGGGUACUCGAGUGGCGGACGGCUGAGUAACGCGUGGGAACGUGCCCCAAAGUGAGGGAUAACGCACCGAAAGGGGUGCUAAUACCGCAUAUGGUCUUCGGAUUAAAGCUUCGGCGCUUUGGGAGCGGCCCGCGUACGAUUAGAUAGUUGGUGAGGUAAUGGCUCACCAAGUCGACGAUCGUUAGCUGGUCUGAGAGGAUGAUCAGCCAGACUGGGACUGAGACACGGCCCAGACUCCUACGGGAGGCAGCAGUAAGGAAUCUUCCACAAUGGGGGCAACCCUGAUGGAGCAACGCCGCGUGCAGGAUGAAGGUUUUCGGAUCGUAAACUGCUUUUAUAAGUGAAGAAUAUGACGGUAACUUAUGAAUAAGGAUCGGCUAACUACGUGCCAGCAGCCGCCGUAACAC
rnacentral:rRNA from 1 species